rnacentral:rRNA from 1 species
AACAACGCUGGCGGCAGGCCUAACACAUGCAAGUCGAGCGCGCCCUUCGGGGUGAGCGGCGGACGGGUGAGUAACGCGUGGGAACGUGCCCUUUUCUACGGAAUAGUCUCGGGAAACUGGGGGUAAUACCGUAUACGCCCUUCGGGGGAAAGAUUUAUCGGAGAAGGAUCGGCCCGCGUUGGAUUAGGUAGUUGGUGGGGUAAUGGCCUACCAAGCCGACGAUCCAUAGCUGGUUUGAGAGGAUGAUCAGCCACACUGGGACUGAGACACGGCCCAGACUCCUACGGGAGGCAGCAGUGGGGAAUCUUAGACAAUGGGCGCAAGCCUGAUCUAGCCAUGCCGCGUGAGCGAUGAAGGCCUUAGGGUUGUAAAGCUCUUUCAGGGGGGAAGAUAAUGACUGUACCCCCAGAAGAAGCCCCGGCUAACUCCGUG